GAAAAAGAGCCUAAGGAGUACCGUCUGCGGAGAGGCCAGCUUGGAAGAACCUGUGUUUGCAGCAAAGGUGGAUGGCGGUCAGAAGACGGCCUCGUGGGGUCUCUGCCAGGCCUGUUUGGAGGACCGGGCGGCUGAGGGACUGGAGUGCAGGGCUGCCGGAUCCGUGUCUGCUGGAUCGGUCUGGCCUCUCCAAGCGCGGUUCGGCCUCGCGAAGCUGUGCAACAGGUCUGGUCCCAUUUCAUCUGGCUUUUUCCUCCCGUGGAAUGAUAAGCUCUUCAAACAGACAUUCCUUCCUUGUGCCCGUAAGACAAGGGAAUGGUAAACACAAGACUCAGGAUGAUGGUUGGUAACCAGGAUGAUGAGAUGUGAGGUCACCAGAUGGUUUGCUGUAGAUUGUUUGCUUUUGUUUUGGUCAGUGGGAUUAUGAGUGCUCAUGACAUUGCAAAAAAUUACUUAUCAACCUAAAGAAAUACAUAAGUAAAUAAGCCAUCCUAUAUCUGAGCAAUGAUGACAGUGAGUCAUUAAGUGAAGAUUAUGAUUGAUACAAUUCUGCUUCUCUGAGAUUAGAAAAAAAAAAAGUCAUGUACUUGGGGGAGGGGAUGAGAAAAAGCCACAUGCCUGAGAGAGGAGUGUGUGAGGUAAGGGAUGGGGCUCAGGUGAGAGGUAGGGGAGAGAGCUAUGUAGGAUCUCAUAGGGCCUGUUAAUGACUUGGAUUUAACGGGGUGGUAUGAUGACAUGGUCUUUAUAUUUCAAAGGUCUCAUUCUGGCUGCAUCGUGGGUAUUUUAUUAGUGGUGGUCAGAGAGAAUAUGGGGAAGGCUGGUUGGGAGGCUGUAUCGACUGUAGGUAAGAGGUGAUGGUAGCAUGGAUUAAGAUGAGAUAAUGAGAGAAGCAGGUGAAUUUAAAUAACAGUAAGUAAAAACUGAUAAUUUUCGAUAGAAUAUGGGGCAUGAGAGUCAAUGAUGAUGCCUCCAUUUUAUUUGUGAAGGAGGUGGAUGGUGGGCUAUUUACUGAGAAGAAAGUGAGUUUAGUUUUGACUAUGUUGGAUUUGGAUGCUUUUGAGAUAUGCCAGUGGGCAGCUGGAUAUUGGGCUCCAUAACUUCCAUGGGAUCUGAGUUAGCUGAGGAUGUACAAGGGAGUCAUGGAUAUGUGGGUGGGGAUUAAAGUUGUGGAAGUUGAUAAGAUUACCUAGAAAGAAACAGUGUAGUGAGAAGAAAGCUGUUGUAAAAACAAAAUUUAAGUAGACAAUUAAAUUAAAGCAGGCCACACAUAUCCUAUGAUGAAAGUGUACCAUGAAUCUAAGAUUAUGAUUAAUCUAGUUUAAAAAAAUCAGGGUCUAAGAAACAAAACAUAUGAAUAUAUGGGAGGGGAGAAAAAAGAGAGAGUGAAACAAACCAUAAGAUA